ensembl:lncRNA
GCAUGCAGCUGGGAAGGGAUUCAUCUAGGGGAUGAGAAAUGAAAAAAAGACUCUCAGGACCUGAGGGAAUUCAAAUAGAGGGCUUUGAUUUUUUUAAAAAAAUGACAUGUGGAAAUGAUCUUUUUUUUUUGUAUAGUCAUAUCUCAUAGAAAACAUUUUACCACUACCAUCACCCCUAGUUGGUUGUGAAGGGAUUGCCUCUUAUCCCUGAAAGGUAACUCCUGUUCUGAAAAGUUGGGAUGCAUUAGACAUCAGUGUUAGGUGAUGUCUGUUGCAGUUUGAAGAGUCCUUAACCUUGAUUAAGGAAGGCUUCCUGGGAGAGGUGGGCUUUUGGGGCCAUUAUAUGAUAGAGAAGAGAGAAAAAUGGCAGAUGGAAGUGGGAGACAGUUCCACACACAGGGGGUGGAGAAUGAUGUGGAGGCAGCAGUGGGUGUAACGACAAUGGUGCCAAGAGAUUUAUUUGGCUAGAACACAAGGGGCAGCUGGGUAGUUAGGAGUGGGAGGAUGGUAGGACAGUCUGACAGAAACCUUGGAACCAGUUGAACUCUGAAAAGCUGAUGGGAAAUCAUGAGGAAAAUGGCAUGGUUGAAAAUAGUAAUAGAAAAAUAAGACCUAAGUUUUAAAUGACUGGAUUUUAGAAAGUAGGGUAAUUAUUUCUUUGGUAUACCCAACUUUGCAAAGAUACGUAGCAUUGCAUCCUUCCUGUUUGCUUUUAGACAGGGUUGGCCAUAAACCAACUACACUGAUAGAGGUCUCUCCAGAUUGUCUCAGAAGAGAGAGUUUACCCUGAAACUUAAUGACAUGAAUAAGACUUAUUUACUGAAAUUUUUAUUGCAAUUUAACGUUAAAAGUUUCUGCUGGAGUUUUAUGCAUAUUUUUCUCUCUAAGUGGUGGGAAAUACAGAACAAAUCUCUUUCCAUGUAAUGACUCUUCUCUGUGCUCAAAGACCAAGACUCUGUCUCUUGAGAUACCAAUUAAUACUAAAUAUUCACAGUUUAUCUUUUCCUGGGUCCCAGUUUCUUUCCUUUUAUUGUUAACUAUCUUCACUUUCCCUGCUUUUAAAAAUCCGAACUCAGUUAAGCAACCAGUCAUUGAAAUCUUCCUCAGCUGGGGGUUAGCUAGAAAAGGGAGAAAACCAAUGGCAUUCAUCAGUAACAACAAAAUCCCAGUUUGUAAGUCAUUCUAGCUUUAGGAAAUAUGUAGGUAUGUAACAAGAGAAAAAAUCUCCAUUGAAGAAUCAGAGGCCAAAUUACAUAGCAGUUUGAGAAAACUCAUAAAUAUGUAUGAGUUUUAUUUCUUUAGUAAACCCAACUUUGCAAAGCUUAAUGCCUAGAAUCCCAACAAAAAACCACUUUUUCACCCAUCUUUAAGCAGACAGUGGUACUGUAUUCUCAACAGCAUUCUGGGGAACUUCACCCAUUCAUUUUUAAGAAUACCUUUGUGGACACCUUCUAAAUAUAUAUUGCAUUAUUCUUGACAAAACAAAAGGGUUUUCUGUAUCUUAUAUGCACCUAGCUUUUUGUUUGAAUUUCUAAAAAUUAUAUUUAAAUAAAAGUUUGAUUCAAGAGGUACUGCUGAUCUGGAAGCUUUGCUUUCCUUGCCAACAUGCUUAGCCAAAUGCAGCUAACCUUUCCCACAUCUGCCAAAAAGGACCAUCUUUGGAACACUGGGACACUGCCAUGUCUGUGGCCUUGUGUAGAAGAGUUGGCCAAGCUAAAAGAUUUCUCUUUAAUCAGACACAGGCUGGGUGCAGUGGCUCAUGCCUGUAAUCCCAGCACUUUGUGCGGCUGAAGUGGGAGAAUCACUUGAAGCCAGGAGUUUGAGACCAGGCUGGACAACACAGCAAGACCCCGUCUCUACAUUGAAAAAAAAAAAAAAAGCAAGCUGGGUAUGGUGGCUCACACUUUUUGUCCUAGCUACUUGGAAGGCUAAGGCAGGAGGACUGCUUGGGCCCAGGUAGUCAAGGCUGCAGUAAGUCAUGAUUGUGCCACUGUAGCCUGAAUGACAGGGCAAGAACCUGUCUCUACAAAAAAAAAAAAAAAAA